AGCCUGGCAGUUGAUAACUUUCGACGAUGAUUCAGGCUCGGAAUGAGGAAUAACAGAAGGGUUUUCUUUUAAUUUAAUCACAGAAUCCUUUGAAAUGAGGUCCUCCUGAGGAAGUAAAUUGGACUUCCGGACAGAAGGGCUAGCCAUCAAUAAAGCUGAAUCCUCUUCAUCAACAUUUUUCGUUUGACGUGUUGAAACUUCAGGGGUAACAAGAGGUAUGUUUUUAAUAUUCCAUGGUGACAGAAACGUUGGUGUCGCAAAAAUUCCAGAAUGUCUGGAGGAGGAUACUGAACCUGGACUGGCGCUUAGUUCACUUCGAUUUUCUAAGGCAUUAUAUGAAGCCGGAUCUCGGGGCCUCUCUCUUCCUUGAUAAUCUUUAAGAUACAAUGCAAUUUGUUCGUCAGGUAAUUGUAAAACUGAUUCUUGGGUAGUACUUUCGAGCGCGCAUAAUCUAAUCAAAUACUCCAGUAAAGUUAAAUUAGGUUGAUCUUUUAUAGUCGAUGGAAAGGAAGACUUUUUCUUUGCAACGGAUUCUUGUUUUUUGAUGCCUAAAAGCUGUAGCCUAGCAGCUUCAGAAUCACUAAGAGAUUCUGCAAGUUCAUCAGAUUCGUCUAAUGAUUCAUUAGGUAUUGAUACCAAAGGAAGUGCUUCUAAAGCUAUCCAGUUCGAAGGUGCUGUAUUUGAAGAAUACUCUGUUUCAUCAUCUGCAUACUUGAGUAAUAAUACGGGAGUUUGUACAUCAUCUAACCGAAGAAGUUUACCGGACAAACUAAAAAAAAGCGUGCGCACAUCAUUUAGUGAAAUGGUUUUGGUGACAGGAGUCUCAUCUUCAUCAUGGUAACGAUCAUCAUCAAAAGAUUGUUUUAAAGAUAAAGCAUAGGCUAGAACCGUAUCCUUGGACUUCAACCGUUGAGGAGGCAUGCGAAACAUUUUGGCGAUACAAACAGGCAUCUCUUCUUUCCACAUGACUAAAUCAUUGCUUAUAUAACCAGACUUGGCGUGGUUAUCUAUAAUUUUAUAAGUUCGCAGGAAAAAUGUGGGGCCAACUUGUAAAGGUUCAUUUCCAGUAAAUGCAACAUUCGCCCUAUAUAUGUAUGAAUUAGCUCGUAGAAGUUGGGAAAAUGAAGUAGAUUUUGGAAGAGAAGAUGAAAUAGAAGCACCAGAAGUAGUGAUGGACAGAUUUAAGAGAGGAACUGCAUCAUUAAUUUUGAGAAGUAAAGUUUUCAUUUCACGAAGAAUAGACGUAUCAACGUUCUUCUGCAAAGUUUCUUUUUCUGAGGAAGGCGGAAAUUCCGAAUGAGCGGCGCUUAAAACAUGCUUGGUGAAUUGUUCGAUGUCAGCGUGCAAAGAAUCCACUAAUUGCUUAGUACUCUUAAAAUUUUCAUUUUCACCGACUGACAUUAUUUCAAUUAGUUCGAUAGCAGGCGUCACAACUCGAAUCAUUUCAAGCAGUUGAGUUUUCACAGACUCCAAUUCACUUUGAUCAUCUGCAGAGGCACGUUUAAUAUAGCUGCUAACUUGCUGAA